CAACUUUUUGGGUUUACUUUUCUACAGUUUGACCAGCAAUCUCAGGCUGAGAGUUUAUAGAUGCUGUCACUUAUCCAUUCUUGUUACUUUAACUUCAUCCUAAAUGAUGUUAAAUGUCUUUAUCUGGUCCACAUAAGCACGUUUGUGUUGUGUGUGUGUGUUGUUGAAUGACCCUGCCAUCUUUCCUGCUCUUUGGAAUGGCCAGUGAAAGCAUGUCUUAGGAUGGACAAGCACAGUCAAUGACAUCACUUUGGCUACCCCUUGAAAAAGAAAGCAUUUUCAGAUAUCAGCCUAUUCUUUAGGUCACACUGCAUUGGUGACGGCAUGGAGGAAGGGCUUUAGUGACGGCUUUUACAGGGAAGAGGAAACGAGAACCCAGUGCCCCAGAAUGCCCAAACUCAUCAGAGCACACAGCCUUGCCCUGAAGAUCUGCCCCUCCAGUCACCAGUGGGGUUUCCCCAUGGAAUAAUCCAGUGGCUGCUGCAGCUGUGCUAAUCAUCACAACUCCAGAACAGGAUGUACUCACAUUAAAAUCUCUUCUUAAGAAGACUUCUGUGUAGUUAAUGCAGCAGCUAGAGCUACCUACACUAUGCUGAAGAUCAGGAAUAUGUUACAGCAAAGUCUGGGGUGAGAAAUUCCCUGUUUAGGUUAGAACAUCAUCCUCAAAAUGUUCAUUCUUUAACAUCUCAAACUGUUCUAAUGAAAAAUGAUAAUGAAACUUCAUUUCUGUGUCCCCUGCAGAUGAAAGUCCUUAGGUAUGGCAUCUGUCAUUUCUGAUAAUGCUGUUUUCAAAGAAAUCAUGUGGAUAUUUUGCAAAAAAAAAUCUGGCUGGGUAAAUAGGAGCUGCUGUAUAAACAUGCAGCUGGCAUCAGAUGGAUAAACUUUUUAACAAUAACAGAAUACACAAGGAACACACACACUUAUCCAUGAAAGGAUGAAUGCUGAGUGACUUGCACAAUUCUCUUCUGAGCCAGUUUUAUGUGCAAACUGUGUAACACUCAGUAGAAACACUUGGUUUUUUUCCUCACAAAAAUGAAAGAUAGUAGCACCAGAAGAGAGCACAGCUGGAAGCUCUGGCUGCUAUUUGGUGUAAGUGUUUGGAGCGAUAACUCUGCGGUAUGCCCAGCUACCAGAUAAAUGCAGUAGGCAGAGCUCACAUUUAGUUUUGGUGUCCUUAUCAGAUGUUCUCAGUACUAGAAACAGCAUGCAUGUUUGGUUUGCUUUGGUGAAAAAGUCAGGCAAUUCAAAGUUCCUUCUGUGAAGCAAGAAGGAGAUUCUUGGUGUUCAGCUGAGUGAGCUCUGCUCUCUUCCCAGAGGCUCCCUCCCCUACUGCAGCAGGGCCAGUAGUGCUGGUGCUCUGUGGUGGGUGGAAAGCACUUUGGCUCUCUGAAGCAGAAACACAGCAAGUCUAAUUCAUCUCUUGUCCACCUCUGAAAGGAGCAGAAAAUAAAGGAUUCCUACUGCAGACCAAACAAACGCAACGUGGUUGAAGCUGCCCUUGACUUUGCACCUAGACCUCCAGGCUGCCUUGUUUUGGGCCACAGGAGGUGAAGUUUACCACAGAGCUCACUUUGUCAAUGUGGAAUGUUACCAGAAAAUUACUGAGAGAAAAAUUUAAUCCACCAGUAUUCAAAUACUACUCAAGAGAAUAAUCAUCCAAAAAUUAAAGCUUCUCCCCAAGACUCUAUUAUUCUCCAUGCCUCUCUGGACCUAUAGCAAGCGUCUCUUGCUGUGUGCACAGAAUCCAACAGAAUCCUUGUGCUGUUUCCUUAUCUUUUGUGAAAGACAUCACUUUCCAUGCAAGAAGCAUAACCUCUCCUGCAGACCACCUUAGUUACUGGAACAAUGUUUGUCUUCUCUAUGAAAAUAAUAUUUUGAUUUUUCUUCUGUAUGAGUCUGAUUUUUAUGACUCCUUUGUGAUGACUUCACAAUGUAAGAACUAAAAUAUGUAAAGGGGUAUUAACAUUUCCUAAGGUUAAAUUAACAGAUUAAUAUUUUACCUUUCCCUAGCCAGAGAAAGCUCAACUAAAUAGUCCCCCACCAGUUGUUCACUUCCCUGUCUGUCUCUGUUGAAGGGAAAAAAACCCUGUGCCUUCUUCUGUAUGGUCUCCUACUGUGUAGUUACAGCCUCCCCAACCUCAUUCUGCAUCUCUUGAUUCCGCUUUUAAGUGCCUCUUCUCAAAUCCCUUUUAAAUCCCACCUCCCUGCUACUUCCAUGAGUAAUGUAUAAGCUGCAUAGCUAAUUCAGCCUGUCUGCAUUUUCUCCAUCACCUUUACCUGUCUGACCUAACCUCUAUGAGCAAAGGACGGAAUGUGUUUAAAGAGUGUGUGUUGUUAUCUUUACCAGAAAGAGUUUAAGAAUACCUACUGUGUUACAAAAGGCAUUAAACAUACAGGUUUCCUGUGAUUGUGAGGACAGCUCCAGUAACACUUCAUGACAGAUUUGGAUGCAGAAAUCUUAGACUUUAGUACCUUUAGGGAGUGAGAGAGAUUUAAAGGUGGAAACCACUGAUGCUAAUGCAUGCCUCAGCUGAGUAUUGCUAGGACCAUAAGGAUGACAUGUUAGUUACUUACAUCCCACAUUAUUAACCAAAUCACAUUGAUCUGAUUAUUAAUCAGUGGAGAUGUCAUGCUAGCACAGAGCAAGAAAUUGCUGUUUGCAAGAAGAUGUGAUGGAGCUGCAGUUUUCCUGUGUACUUUUGACUGUGAACAAACAGGUCUAUCACUUUGCUUGCUAUAAAGUUUUUCUGGCAACUGUAAUAGAUACAGAAAAAAACUUAAACCCAAAAUGAUCUACACUUUUGCAAAGCUGUUGAAGCACUCUGAUCCCUUGUGAGGCAGUGCCACAGGGGAGCAGUCCUGGGAAGUCAGCCCUGGGUCCAAGCUGUGCACCCAAGCUUUGAUGCAAUGCAUGGAGGCUAUUAAACAUCUCCAAAACAGGCUUUACAAAAGCUGACAAUCAUGGUAGCUAAGAGGGAAGGCUGGGGAGAAUGCAUUAAGCUUAAACCCCAUGGAAUUUUAUGCUUUGCUCAGGGCCAGACUUGCAGCAAAGCAUCUCGGAGGAGCUGGCGCCGCAUCAGUGCAGAAAUUUCUGAUACAAAAAAAAAGAGGAGGAAAUCCUUCUAAUUUCCCCCUGCUCUUCUAACACCAUCCAGUGAUUAGAGCACUUAAGCUGGGUGUCAGAGACUCACUUUUUACAACUGGCAUUAGGAUUUGUGUGGCUCUGUACCGUAUAGUGAUGUCUUAGUGCCACGGGAAAUACCCUGAUCUGACAGCCUAAGGCAUGCAGGCCUCCAGGGCUAGCCGUGACUGACAGGGAGAAGAACAGCUGUGGAUUUUAUGUAUGUAUUUUUGUCACCAGGGGCAUAAAUUCCCUGUGCUGGAGACAUAAGUAUGUUAUAGACAUACAUGUAUGAGUGCUCCGUUGUGGUUUCUGCCUCAGUUGGGAGAGUCAUUGCCUGGGUUCGUAAGAUUGAGUAGAUUAGGUUCAAGACAACACCAGAGGAAAAGGGCAGAAAGAAAACAUCUCAGGGCCAUAGCUAGAAACUAGACUGUGAAAAUAGAUAAAUAAAGAGUCAAGUUUCGAUGCUCAUUUUGGUGGGGAUCUUGUCUGGAGAUCUUGGCAGGAACACACGAACAACUGUUACUCCAAAAAACAGCACCAGUUUUUCUUGUGCAGGUUUGGGGAGCAAAGAUCUGAUUCAUUGUGUGCUCUUAAUGCAGGAAAACCGAGCAGUAAAGGGCAGAGUAAGGUGUGAGAGACUGACACCCGAGACCCUGGUUUGGGAGAUCAGAAUGUGGGGGCACUGAGAACUUGGCUUGGAGACCUUGCUUGAGAGGAGGCAUCUGGUGGAAGGCAGAGGCAGAGCAGAAGGCCAGGCUGCUACAGCUGCCAGCAGUCACCCAAGUACAAUGAAUGAUCAGGGUUUAAAAUGCUUUCCUCGGCAUCCCAGGCAUUUGGAAAGGACUGUAUUUGAGGAUCUACUCUUAGCCCAUCAUCAAUUAAAACUAAGAUGUCUCUUACAAAUAUGCUAAA